rnacentral:lncRNA from 1 species
GUUAGUGGGUGCAGCGCAUCAGCAUGGCACAUGUAUACAUAUGUAACUAACCUGCACAAUGUGCACAUGUACCCUAAAACUUAAAGUAUAAUAAAAAAAAAUACAUGUAAUUCAAUUGAUUCCAUUGUGAUACAUUGAAUCCACUUCACUUCAAUACAGCUGAUGUUUGUUGCCCACUCACGAUGCGCCAAUAAAUUUCCUGGGAUACAUAGAGGAAAAUAAGUUAAACUCCUGCCUGUAUCAGAGUUUCUUAUCUAAACAAUGCACGCUGUUGUUUUAUAAUUAUGUCUUCUAGAAACUUGGCUGUUAUAAUUAGUUUUAAAAAAUGUACUAUGACAAAAAUAAAGUGCUUAAAAGCCAGCAAAUGUUCAGCAACAGGAUUUCUGUUCUAUAUACUACAGCAAAUUGUACAUCAAGAAGUGGUCAAACAAGAGAGUGUCUCCUUCACCUCUACAUCUGAUAAUCUAUUCUGAAGAGAGAAUCUAUAAGCUACGAACUUAUGAAUCUUACAAGAUGAUUCAUUUUCCUUCCUCUCUUAUGAAGACCUGGUUGGGAAAUCAGGAGAAGCACAGAGAAUCCUGCUCCCCCUUCAGAGCAUGUCUCCUCAACACUGUCCUGAGGAAAACAGAAGCUCACUUUGGUAGAGUUCAAGAAAGCUCACAGCAGUGAACUGUAGCAAAUGGAAACCUUGAUUUCAAUUGCAACACAUUCUUGGGAUUCAUGGAAGAGAUGGAGUCUUGCUAUGUUGCCCAGGCUAGUCAACUCCUGACCUUAAGUGAUACUACUGCCUUGGUCUCCCAAAGUUUUGGGAUUACAGAUGCGAGCCGUAGCAUCUGGUUGCUGUUUUUAGUAAUGAUCACUAAACUGGAUAGAUUACUGGGAUCGAUGUUGUAAUAUGCACAUAGGAGUGCCAGGAACCUGCUAGACAUCGCCUGUGCUUUGCCCUGUAUUUGGAAGCCCAUUGGGAAAUUUGAAAAGGUCUGAGAAGAAUCAUCCCGUCUGUUAAGUGAUAAUUUGAGAAGAAAGAAACAUCGUCCUUGAAGUGCAGAGAGUUGCUUCUCUCUUGACACCUUAGAGGCAAGUCCAGGGAGCAGAAUUAAGUGACAGUAAAAGGAAAAGAUCACAUGUAUCACAGGAAUGAGAAAUCCUUAUGGCUAAGUCAGCUUUCCACAGUUAGGCUACACUUUGAUGUUGGCAAAAGUUUCCCUAGUGGGAGAGACAUAGGGAAAAGGGCAGAGGAAUAAAGAGACAGCUUCACUUACCCAGUCUAAGUAAAGAGGUGAACAGUUCAUCCAUCUAAUAUUUAAUAUGGGCUUCUCUUGUGAAGAGCUGGAAAUGCAUUUAUUAAAGUCUGCAUAAGCAGUUGAGUUAUAACCUCCAAAAUAAACUGGAAGAAAUAAAGGAAAAGAAACUGACUUACUGAAAAGUUUAUAAGCCCUCACAGAGAGCCAAGCUGCAAACAAGAAUCCAUGCAGAGCUGAAGGGAUGUCUCCGGGGGAUUAGUUGCAGAAUUGUUUUCUCUAGUGGAUGCUGUAGUGUAUGGACCGAUUCCUCCAUUGAUGGCCAAACUACUCAUUCCCCCACCUGCUGAGAAUCAGAGUGUGGACGGCUGAUGACUCAUGACUGAGUUCCUUACCAGGAAUUAACCUUGACUGGGCCCAAGUGUAUGCUCCCUGUCUGGGUUCAAAUUAAAAUCCAAAACGUAGUCUAUGUGGGAGUACAGAUACCCAGUCAUCAUGUCUCAGUUUGGGGCAGCUCUGAUGGGUCCUCCCAGUUCUAGAACCAGCUGUAGUCUUUAUUGUAAUGGCAUCAUAGUUCAGCUUGCCCUUGCCUAAUUCUGCUGCCUUCCUUUCUUCACUGGUGUUCUUUCCCAAACAACUCGGGAAUAAAUUCCCUGC